GGAUCAAUUUAUUGGUCGUGCUAUUGUACGUACUGGUAUUAUUGAUUCCUACCUUCUGACGAACCAUGAUGUCAUUAAUUUGGUGUCAUGGGGAAUCAGGACUGUUACUUUGAAAAAAUUAGAGUGUUUAAAGCAGGCUCACGCUUGAAUACAUUAGCAUGGAAUAACGAAAUAGGACGUUUGAUUCUAUUUUGUUGGUUUCUAGGAUCGACGUA
rnacentral:ncRNA from 4 species